CCUACGGGAGGCAGCAGUAGGGAAUAUUGCUCAAUGGGGGAAACCCUGAAGCAGCAACGCCGCGUGGAGGAUGAAGGUUUUCGGAUUGUAAACUUCUUUGUUUGAAGAAGUAAAUUACGGCACCUAAGCAUUAGUGCCUGGCCAUUCCGGUUCAGGAGCCGCGGUCAUCAGGAGGGUAGCAGCGUUACUCGGAAUCAACGGGCGUAAAGAGGGCGUAGGCGGGAUAGCAAGUCAGGUGUGAAAUCCUAUGGCUUAACCGUAGAACUGCAUUUGAGACUGGUAGUCUAGAGUAUGGGAGAGGUAGGUGGAAUUCUUGGUGUAGGAGUAAAAUCCGUAGAGAUCAAGAAGAAUACUCAUUGCGAAGGCGACCUGCUAGAACGUAACUGACGCUGAUGCGCGAAAGCGUGGGGAGCAAACAGGAUUAGAUACCCGAGUAGUC
rnacentral:rRNA from 1 species